rnacentral:rRNA from 1 species
UACAGAGGGUGCGAGCGUUAAUCGGAAUUACUGGGCGUAAAGGGUGCGUAGGUGGUUUUGUAAGUUAGAUGUGAAAUUCCAGGGCUUAACCUUGGGACUGCGUUUAAAACUGCGGAGCUAGAGUACUGUAGAGGGAAGUGGAAUUUCCGGUGUAGCGGUGAAAUGCGUAGAUAUCGGAAGGAACAUCAGUGGCGAAGGCGACUUUCUGGACAGAUACUGACACUGAGGCACGAAAGCAUGGGGAGCAAACAGG